UGGUUUUGUCAUAAGGCUCGUGCUAUUUUGUGAAUUCUCGCCGGAUCAUCAGUGAAUAUCACUAUCUUCAGCUUCUGUUUACUGCAGCUUCUGAAUAUUGUAAAUUUUACAGGCUUAAAAGGAUGAUGCCAGAGGCUCUCAGCGUCUGGACUUGGUUAAAAUUUGUGGUGCAGAGAAAAGAGGAAGGAGGUGGAGUGGAAAUGAAGAUCUCCAUCUGAGCAGUGCCCUUCAUCUCCUGUGCCACCAUGAGGAACAGUCUCUUCAGACAACUAGCCUCAACAAGUAUGCCAAGACUAUUUAGGUGGUGAAAUAUUUGGAAUAAGAUUUGAGGUUGGUGCAUUCUUCCACCCUGCCGGAUGAACAGAGUGGUCCAGCAGCCUUGAGGGGAAGCACACGAAAUGUGACGUCUUUCCUGGAUCCUCUUUGUUCUCAGGAUGUCUGGAUGGGUGCCUCAUCCUACAGACUCAGCAAUUGCUUCAGAGGUUUGCUACUGUGAGACUAUGCUGGAAGUGAUCCAGAAGAGCAGUACAGGGCAUACUGGAGAAGCCACAGAUGCCUGUACUUCCCAUUGCAGGCAGAAGAAAAAUUCCUCUUCUGCCCUUGCUACUGAGGUUCCCAGAGCAUGAGUAGUGCAUUCUCUUGCCAGGAUAGGCCAGGACUUUGCUUCCGCGCGGGACGAGAGGCGCGGGUGAUGGACGGAGCCGAUGAUGUGCCUGGAAGUUUUGGGCCGAGCCAAAAGCAGAAGGCAGCUGUUGACAGCUCAGUGAGGAGCUGCUGGUUUAUGAGUCUGGGGAUUUGAA
rnacentral:lncRNA from 1 species